GUUGGGCAUAGUGGCGGGUGCCUGUAGUCCCAGCUACCCAGGAGGCUGAGGUGGGAGGAUCGCUUGAGUCCAGGAAUUCCGGGCUGCAGUGUAUUAUGCUGAUCGGGUGUCCACACUAAGUUCGGCAUCAAUAUGGUGACCUCCUGGGAACAGGGGUCCACCAGGUUGCCUAAGGGGGCGUGAACUGGCCCAGGUCGGAAAUGAGCAGGUCAAAACUCCUGUGCUGAUAAAAAGGGCUAGGGAUAUAUCUCAGUGGUAGAGUGCUCCUUGGUUCAAUCCCCAGGACUUCCAAAAACAAACAA
ensembl:misc_RNA Metazoa_SRP Metazoan signal recognition particle RNA